UCCCUGGGGGUCCAGUGGUUAAGACUGCACUUUUAAUGCAGCAGACACAGGUUCAAUCCCUGGUCAGGGAA
rnacentral:tRNA from 1 species